UAGGAUUUACACAAACACUCAAUGUAAUGAAAUAAUGUUGUGCUCAACACUAAUAUACAACUUUCAACUACGGAUCUCUUGGCUCUCUCAUCAAUGAACAACGCAGCAAAAUGCGAUAAUUAAUGUGAAUUGCAAAAUUCAGUGAAUCAUCAAAUCUUUGAACGCACCUUGCACCCUUUGGCAUUCCAAAGGGUAUGCUCGUUUGAGUGUCAUUAUACUCUCAAACUCUCGGAUUAUAGAGCGGCGGACCUGGAUGUUGCCUGGUGCUUGUUGUCAGGCUCAUCUGAAAUGAGUUAUUACCACUCCUACUUAAACAUAGUACGGCGUUAUAACUAAACCCUCGCUGUUUUUUUGUCUGAUUAGGAGCCUUGUGCUUCCAACCGUCUUCAGACAAUAUCUGAUAACUUGACCUCAGAUCGAGUACGAUUACCCGCUGAACUUAAACAUAUAAAUAAACGGAUGAAAAGAAACUAACGAGGAUUCCCCUACUAACGGCGAGUGA
rnacentral:rRNA from 1 species